CCUACGGGCGGCAGCAGUGGGGAAUAUUGCACAAUGGGGGGAACCCUGAUGCAGCGACGCCGCGUGAGUGAAGAAGUAUUUCGGUAUGUAAAGCUCUAUCAGCAGGGAAGAAAAUGACGGUACCUGACUAAGAAGCCCCGGCUAACUACGUGCCAGCAGCCGCGGUAAUACGUAGGGGGCAAGCGUUAUCCGGAUUUACUGGGUGUAAAGGGAGCGCAGACGGCUGUGCAAGUCUGGAGUGAAAGGCGGGGGCACAACCCCCGGACUGCUCUGGAAACUGUAAAGCUGGAGUGCAGGAGAGGUAAGCGGAAUUCCUAGUGUAGCGGUGAAAUGCGUAGAUAUUAGGAGGAACACCAGUGGCGAAGGCGGCUUACUGGACUGCAACUGACGUUGAGGCUCGAAAGCGUGGGGAGCAAACAGGAUUAGAUACCCUAGUAGUC
rnacentral:rRNA from 1 species